AAACGAUACUCGUGGAAAACACGUGUGUGCGCCAUUGGGUUUGCAGCACCCCUAGCGACUUUUUCGCGAAUAGUCGAUAUUAAUGGCGACGUUAACAACGAGCCCAUUGGCUAAAAAUUUCGGCUACGUCGGCUUUAACAUCGACAAACGGACAGAUGGAACGAACGUUUCGUUGUCAACCAUCAUCUGUUGUUCUCUUGAAGCCACGCGACACUUCAACACUUGGCUGGCUAUAUGUCAUGCUAAUCGAAAUAAAAUUUAAAAACUAAAUUGCUAACCAUCACUUUUUUGUUGUUGUAAUUUACAUUUUCACUAUGUUAUGUACGGUUUACAAUUUGCAAACUGAUAUAUUUCUUAUUUUUAAACAUUAUGAACUUUUAUGUGGGCUUGUUUUUGUUGUUGCUGGUUAUAAUAAUUUUAUUUCUUUUCUCUUUUUUGUGGGAAAUGCUUCGUUUUGAUUACACUUAAUUUUUUUUUAUAUUUUAGUUUAAUUAUACUCAUAGCUAUGUGUUUCUGUACAUAUUUGUGCCUUUAGUAAGUUCUACACAAAUAUGCGGAUUUUUUUUAUUAUUAUCUUUCAUUUUAUUGAUAAAAAUCGUACCGCAAAUGUUUUAUACUCACUAAUAACGUGUCAUACGCUUUUAAAACCAGCCUAUCCUAUUUCAAUUACACGCUUCUACUGUGAAAUUGCCAAAAAACAAGAAAAAUCGUUAAAUUCGGUUCCAAUAAAUCGUCAUAAAGCAGAAGAAAACAUAACUGGGUUUCGAUCGCUGUUUGUAUAGCAUCUAUAUGCUCUAGUAGUCCGAUCGUUGCAUUGGACAAUAACCUAUGCCAAAGUUUGCAUAGCAUAUACUCAAAUGAAAAACUUUUGCAUACAAGAACUGGAUUUGGAUUGUUGUUUGUAUGGCAACUACAUAUGUACAUAUAUGCUGAUGGUAUGUUCCGAUAUCGUCGAUUCCGACAAAUGAGCAGCUUCUUGGAGAGAAGAGGACGUGUGAGAGAUUUCAGAUCGAUAUCACUGAGGAACUAGUUCCCGUAUAUAAAAACAGACAGACAGGCAGACGGCCAUGGCUAAAUCGACUCAGCUGGGUAUGCUGAUCAUUUAUAUACAUCUUAUAGGGUCUAUGACGUUUCCUGGUGUUACAAACUUCGUGGCAAACUUAAUAUACCCUAUUCAGGGUAUAAGAAUAAUAAAAUUUUGAACAGUCAAGCACUUUGCUGGUAUUCUGCAAUGCAGUUAUCGGACUUAUGAUUAAACAGUUGCACACAAGCGUCAAAUUAUGCAAGCUUGCCUUAAAUCUAUGUUAUUUCGUAUUGAAGUAGCUUGUCAAGUCAGUGAUUAUAUGUUAUUAGUAUACCUAUUUUGUAUGAAUUUCGUAUAAUGAAAACUGUAUGUAUUAUAUAUAUGUAUUCUUGUAACUACUAAUGUAUACAGCUCGUCGUUUGUAGUACAUGCUACACUCUUACAACACUUAUGCUUAUUACUUUUAAUAGUAAAUCAGUCAAUUCGUUAUUAAGUAUAUGUAUGAUAAACUGUAAUCAAUCAGAAACUGUCAAAUGCUUAGAAAUUGUAAUUUCGUCUAACUUUUUUUAUUAAUCGUAUUUAAACUAACGACUUCCCCAUCCUAAUUUAUAUUUUUAAUUGAAAUAGAAUAAAUCAAUAGUUUUGUUACUAACGCUAUAUUAUUUCGUUCGUCGACACAUUUGUUGUUCGUUUGUUUCGUAAGCAAACUCUCAAUGAUAUAAAAAGUACAAAAUAGCGGUUACAGGAUACGUUCAUCGGUAAUUAUGCAUGUAUAUGUAUAUGAAUAUCACCUAAAAGUUUGGUUAUUUCUGCUGUAAUGCGGGCGUCAACAUUAAGUUUAUUUUUGGUUCAAAACAAAUAAUAGAGAAUCUUUCUUAAACAAACAUAUUUAUCUUAGAGGAAUUCCAUUUCUUAUGCAAAAUUUCUACUUCAUGUAUAAUAGAGAUUUUAGUAUUUAUUUGUAUAUAAAAUAACAAAUUAUGCAGCAAUAAUACCGCUAAUGCUAUGUACAUACUUAUGUAUAUUGAAAUGUAGUUCCGACUUAUUGGUACCAGUUACGGUACUUUUAUUUCUAUAUUUCGUGAAUACAAAUAAUUUAAAAAUUAUUAGAAUUAACCGUUGAACGACUUGAUACUUGAACUAUUUUCUGUUUAAUCGUACACCAUAAAAAUUUAUACUACGCACAUUCGUUAAUUGAAAUUUGAAAUGAAUAUACACUGCUGUAUAAGUACUGUUAGAAUUAUGCUUGUAUGUGCGUGUGUGUGGAUGCAAAUAAUGGCUUAAAAUAAUUAUUGAAUUAACAAAUGUUUUCUAUUUUGUAAUCCCGAAAAUCUUAACUGAAACAAAUUUUUAAUAACUAAUGCCGUUUUAAAUAAAAAAACCAAAAUUGGAAAAAGUAUAAAUAAAAGUGAAAUUUAUAUAAAAAAAUUUUUUUUUUUUAAUUAAAAUAUUAAUAAAUUAAAACAAUUUAUUAAAAAAAAUUUAUAAAAACUAAAGAAAAUCUUGGAGUUUUAAUUUAAUAGUAAAAGUUUAAAAUUGAAAAAUGGUAACAUCAAGCUUAUAAUUAAAAAUUAAAAAAGAAAUUGUUUUAGAAUUUACUUUCUCGGCGUUUGCGUGCUUCGUAUUGAAUCAUUUUGUUAUCUUUUGAACAGGAAAGCUUAUUGUUAAUGAAAUAUCAAUAUAGUUAAGCUUUUUCUGUCUUACUUAUGUAUAUUAAAUUGCUUUUAUAUUAUAGUGUUUCAGUACAAAAUAUGUAAACCUUUCAUUUUUUAACCCUUUUCAUUCCAGUUUUUAAUUUGAAAAAAAAUUUUUUUUUUACUUUGCUGUUCUAAUUUUGAAAUUAAAAAUUUUUUUCUCAAUUUCUAAUCAAAGAUUUUUGGGAAUUUUUAAUCCAAAAUUUUUUAAUUGAAAAAUUCGGAGUCCUUUGUAUGGUAUGUAGGUAACAAAUGUAAAGAAACAAUAUAUACUUUUUGGUAAAGUUAGACAAUUCGCCGCUUUUCACAUGUUCUAUUUUAGUUUCACUCCAUUGAUCACCAAUAAAUAUGCUUCAUAUGUCACGUGCACGCACUUGCAAUAAUGUGUUAUGGGGUACAACAGCGUCUGGCUUUUUGAAAUUACUUGUAUCAAAAGAGAAGCAACCCAUGUUUCCUAACAAAUAAUUUUACUCAUUUUGACAUUUUGAAAUAAUUAGCUAUUGCUUCCGCCUCAUUACUUCCUUAAUAUAUAUAUGUAUAUAUAUAAAUAUAUAAUAGUUUGAAAACUUGUAAAGAAAAUGAUCUUAAAACGCACUUAAAUUUUAUUAGCAGUAAUUCACCUCAAUUUAUUUUGUUUAAUCUGUCAAUAUUGCUAACUGAAUACGAAAGCAUAACAUUGCAGCAAUUAUAACAACAUACCAAAGAUUUGCCUCAAGGCUCAUAUGUAUUACCUAUGCUUGCCUCCCGCUUCAUUAAACUCAUGUUUGGUUAAAUAGUAUUUCAUUUAGUUACGAUAUUUGAUAAUAAGUAUGUAUGCAUGUAUUUAAAUAUAUAUGUAUAUAUUAAUACAUAUGUAUGUAUAUAUUUAUAUAUUCAAUUAAAAUUUAAACUUUAAAAUUUAUAGUAAAUCAUAAUCAUUAAAGAAAUUGUUUUACAAUUAACAGUCAGUGUGUUGGUUUUGUGUUUAAUCCUCUUUUACUUUACGUUACGUUUACUUUAACUUUGCAUCAAGUGGUUGCUUGUUUUUGUUUUUUUUUUUUAAUUUAGUUUUACGUUAAAAUUUUAUACUAGCGUACAUUAAAUUUAGAGUUGUUUCAUUUGUAAUUGUAAUUUAGCAUUCGUUCUAUCAAAUAUGUAAUCUUAUUUUGUUUUGUUAAAUUAGUUAUCAUUAUGUUACGAUUAAUUUUACAUAAAUUUAAAUGUAUGUGGUAGAUAAUAAAUUGUAUUUUUUCUUUGUUUUUUUUUUCUUGUAUUCUCCAUUUAAAUGUAAUUUAGUUAUGUAUGCUUUUAAAGUAUGUUUGUGUUUACAGUAAUUUAUUUUUAUAUUUAAUUUAAUAAUUACGUCAGGUUUUCUUGUUAUAAUAUAAUAUUAGCGUUUAUUUUUUGCUUUUUUUAUUUGUUUGAGGCUCGCAUCAGUGAUAUUUGUGAACACUAGCUACCACCAUUUUGUUGCCGUUUAAAAUAUAUUAGAAUCUGUAUAUUUUUUUUAUUUAGCUUAUACCUUGUAACAUCUUUAUUCGUAAGCAUAUUCAAUUUAGCUGAACUGGGUCGCGAAGUUAACAUAAAAAAGGCAUUUACAGUUCACAUGAAACGCGGCAAAAAACUUAGAGAAAAAAAGUAUAAUGAAAUAAGUUUCAUAGAAAAAAUGUAUCGCCUAGUAAUAAUUAUUUUAAAUUGAGGACAUGUUAUUACGAUGUUUUUUUUUAUUGAAAUAAAAAUGCAGCUUAUUUUAAACAUCUAUACUUUACGCAAGUUAAUCUAUACUUCCAAAAAAAAAAUUUACAGGCAUUUAGCAUGUUCACUACUAUUUAUGUUAAGAGAUUGUAUUACUUUCGCGGACACCGUAUUUAAAUUGCGUUUGUAAUUAUCGUAGUAAUAGUUAUAAACUAUAUAUAGACUACACAUCAUACACUUGAUGAGAUAUAUUAUUUCUAAAUUAAAACAUUCCGUUUGUUUACUCUUAUCAACUUCAAAUAUAAUUUUUGUUCUUUUUUUCCAUCUUUGUCCUCUUGUUUCAUCAAAAUUUUGAUAAAUUAUUGUAUGUAAACUAUGUUUGUAGGUAUGUAUAAUAUAUAUACAUAUAUAUGUAUCUAUAUAUAUUGGCGCUUUAAUUCACUAUUACUACACAUAAUUCUUGUUGUUGUAUCUUCAUAGUUAUAUAUAAAGUGAAUAUAUACGUGUGUGUGUUUACAUUUCGUUUUCACCUAUUCAAUUUUACUCAUUUACACACUUCAAAAAUUGAUAUAGCAAUGUAUAUGUUUGUAUAUUAU